CUCAACAUUACUUUUUGGUAACUAAAAAUCAAUGCAUAUAUCCUCAUACAUGGCUGUCAUAAGUUUACAGCUUAGUCUUUCAAUUUUCUUAUUGAGUGUUUUAGUUUUUUCUGUACUUGCUUUCCUUUGUGCUUAAAGCAAGCAGUUACUUAUGUCACCAUUUUUUACAUUAAAUCAUACUACAUACUGUUGGGACAGUUUUCAUGUGACUGUAUCAGGCGGUUCUAUAUUUUCUUUGACCC